rnacentral:rRNA from 1 species
ACUGCUCAGUAACACGUAGCUAACCUACCCUUAAGUCGAGGAUAUUCUCGGGAAACUGAGGUUAAUACUCGAUAGGAGAUGUACCCUGGAAUGAUUCAUCUCUUAAAUUCGUGCUUAAGGAUGGGGCUGCGGCGGAUUAGGUUGUUGGCGGGGUAAAAGCCCACCAAGCCAAUGAUCCGUAAGGGCUCUUAGCGGAGAGGCCCUGAGAGGGAAUCUGAGACACUAUUCCCAGCCCUACGGGGUGCAGCAGUUAGGAAUCUUCUGCAAUGCGCGCAAGCGUGACAGAUUGAGUCAGAGUGACUUUCAUUUGAAAGUCUUUUGCCAAAUGUAAAAAGUUUGGCGAAUAAGGACUGGGUAAGACGGGUGCCAGCCGCCGCGGUAAUACCCGCGGUCCAAGUCGCAGCCAUCAUUAUUGGGUCUAAAACAUCCGUAGCUUGCUUAAUAAGUUUCUUGUGAAAUUCCAUGUCUCAAAUAUGGAGCGGGCAAGAAGUACUGUUGAGCUAGAGACUGGAAGACGUAAGAAGUAUGUUUGGAGUAGCGGUAAAAUGUGUUAAUCCCAGACAGACUAACAACAGCGAAGGCAUCUUACGAGGACAGUUCUGACAGUAAGGGAUGAAGGCUAGGGGCGCGAAAGGGAUUAGAUACCCCUGUAGUCCUAGCAGUAAACACUGCACACUAAACAUUAGUACCUCCUCGAGAGGUGUUAGUGCUGAAGAGAAGUCGAAGAGUGUGCUACCUGGGAAGUAUAGUCGCAAGGCUGAAACUUAAAGGAAUUGGCGGGGGAGCAC